AUACGGAGGGUGCAAGCGUUACUCGGAAUCACUGGGCGUAAAGCGCGCGCAGGCGGUCUUUUAAGUUGGAUGUGAAAGCCUACGGCUCAACCGUAGAACUGCAUCCAAAACUAUUAGACUAGAGUGUGGGAGAGGAAGAUGGAAUUAGUUGUGUAGAGGUAAAAUCCGUAGAGAUAACUAGGAAUACCAAAAGCGAAGGCAAUCUUCUGGAACACUACUGACGCUGAGGCGCGAAAGCGUGGGGAGCAAACAGGAUUAGAAACCCUAGUAGUCC
rnacentral:rRNA from 1 species